rnacentral:rRNA from 1 species
UACGGGGGGGGCUAGCGUUGCUCGGAAUCACUGGGCGUAAAGGGUGCGUAGGCGGGUCUUUAAGUCAGGGGUGAAAUCCUGGAGCUCAACUCCAGAACUGCCUUUGAUACUGAGGAUCUUGAGUUCGGGAGAGGUGAGUGGAACUGCGAGUGUAGAGGUGAAAUUCGUAGAUAUUCGCAAGAACACCAGUGGCGAAGGCGGCUCACUGGCCCGAUACUGACGCUGAGGCACGAAAGCGUGGGGAGCGAACAGG